rnacentral:rRNA from 1 species
GACGAACGCUGGCGGCGUGCUUUACACAUGCAAGUCGAACGGCAGCACAGGGAGCUUGCUCCCGGGUGGCGAGUGGCGCACGGGUGAGUAAUACAUCGGAACGUGUCCUGUUGUGGGGGAUAACUGCUCGAAAGGGUGGCUAAUACCGCAUGAGACCUGAGGGUGAAAGCGGGGGAUCGCAAGACCUCGCGCAAUUGGAGCGGCCGAUGCCCGAUUAGCUAGUUGGUAAGGUAACGGCUUACCAAGGCGAUGAUGCAUAGCCGAGUUGAGAGACUGAUCGGCCACAAUGGAACUGAGACACGGUCCAG